GGGGCUGACAUGGCUUUGACAGCGGGUCGAGUGGGAAUGUAAGCAUGCCGAGCGCUGUGAACGCGGCUCGUUAAUCCCGAUUCUCAAGCCUAUAAACGGCAACGAUUACAACUACGCUUUGGCUGCCUAAUAAUAGUUAUUAGGUGCCAUUUGCUUCCCGGGAAGCCACGCCCGGCCGCGUCCCCAAGGAAGCAUCACCAAAAGCCGGGAUAAGUUGUGCAAGGCCCUGGUGCACGAUCGAAAAUAAAAAGGGCUCAGGCAAUGGAUAGGGCCGCCUUUCCCCAGUUCAACGCUGAAACUCCAAUGAGAGGAUAAGCAUGUAGAAAGCAUUUUUGCUGCUCGUUUGGACGAGGGUUCAAUUCCCUCCAGCUCCACAA
rnacentral:tmRNA from 1 species